AAACUUUCAACAACGGAUCUCUUGGCUCUAGCAUCCAUGAAGAACGCAGCGAAAUGCGAUAAGUAAUGUGAAUUGCAGAAUUCAGUGAAUCAUCGAAUCUUUGAACGCACAUUGCGCCUGGCAGUAUUCUGCCAGGCAUGCCUGUCCGAGCGUCAUUU
rnacentral:rRNA from 1 species